AAUACAGAUAGCAAUGAUGUGCUUGAGGAAUAUGUUGCAGAUACAUCUGUGUUGCUGUGCCAUCCCCCAAGGCCCAACACUAAUGUGAGGUCUGCCUAAGCAGACCUGUGGUGACACCAUCCUGCUCAGUGACCUGUGGUGACACCAUGAUUCCAAAUCCAGGAAAACCUUUGUUCAAGCUCAGUGCUACAGGAAUGUUUCUGGACUCCAACUGGUCCCAAUGGUAGCUUACAUGCCACUGCAGCUAAGCUAAUCAACCCCACCAACUAAUAAAUUAGCUAAUAAGGCUUGCUGGAA